rnacentral:lncRNA from 1 species
CGCAGCCGCAGUGCCGCCAGGCCUUGUGUUCCGACCCCUCCCCUCCUCCGCCGGCCCCCCCGCCCUCGGUAUCAGUGGCUGAGGCAGGGGCCCGAGCCCGGGCGCAGGCCCAGGCGGCCGUGCAAGAGGGUGUGGGUGUGGGUGUGGGCAGUGAGCCGCGGGCUGUGUCAGCCUCGGCGCUGCUGCUGCCGCCUUCCAGGGCCCUCGGUUCCCCUUGGACAGAGGCCGGCGCGGUUCCGGGGCCGCCCAGGUGUGAAGAUGGAACACUCUAAAAAGGUCUGCUGAAAGUAAGGGGAAGGAAAAAACAACAUUUGAAAAAAAGUUGGAUGCUGCGCUGGAAAAACUUCAGUAAUGGAUCAAAGAAAGAAUGACAGUAUUGUUCCUAGUAUCACUCAGUUAGAAGAUUUUCUUACAGAACACAACUCCAAUGUUGUUUGGCUCCUCGUUGGUAGGUAGAAUAUGUUUUCUUGUACUUUAUUAUUUUGUGUAUAUGGAUUAAUAACUGCCAUGUUUUAGCAGUGGUUAACUGAAGUUGGAAUGUGUUUAAUACUAUUUGCUUAUUUUUAGGAAAGAAGAUUUUAAUCUGUGUUUCUGUGAAGAUUUUGAUCUAUGUUUUGCUCUGGAAACUGCUCUGGAAUGCUCUUUAUUUUGAGCUCUCUCCCUGCCUGACUUGGGGAAAAUAGGACAGGAAUAAAGACAUUGGACUUAACAUGACUUUCCCAUUUUAAUUCCAUACCCCCAACCCCCAAUACACACACAAGCAUCUUUUAUUGUAAAAGUAAUAAAUUCUCAUAAUAAAUGUAUUUUUAAAGUAAAGUAGAAUAUAUAUGCUUAAUUAAACUUUUAAUCUCUUUCCAGUCUCCUUAGGUACUUCACAUGGCCUCUUGUUAUGAACAAUUUUUUGUGUAAUACUCCAGAAGUUUUCCAGGCAUAUACAAAUAGUACAAAGCAGUAUAUAAGUAAAUGGUGGGGAGGGAGGGAAUAUGAGUGAGUGAAUGAGAGGGAGAAAUACAAAGAUAAUAUCUGGGGAGGGAGAGAUUUCUGUACAGUUAUUACCCAGGAAGUUUUUGUGCAAAAAUGUCAUUUGAUUUGAAUUUUGAGAUAUAAUUUGGAAAGGUAGA